ACGGGUGAGUAACACGUGAGUAACCUGCCCAAGACUCUGGGAUAAGCCUGGGAAACUGGGUCUAAUACUGGAUGCCGACUUCCCACCGCAUGGUGGGGGGUUGAAAGGCUUUUGUUGGUUUUGGAUGGACUCGCGGCCUAUCAGCUUGUUGGUGGGGUAAUGGCCUACCAAGGCGACGACGGGUAGCCGGCCUGAGAGGGUGACCGGCCACACUGGGACUGAGACACGGCCCAGACUCCUACGGGAGGCAGCAGUGGGGAAUAUUGCACAAUGGGCGAAAGCCUGAUGCAGCGACGCCGCGUGAGGGAUGACGGCCUUCGGGUUGUAAACCUCUUUCAGUAGGGAACAAGGCCGGCACUUGUGUUGGUUGAGGGUACUUGCAGAAGAAGCGCCGGCUAACUACGUGCCAGCAGCCGCGGUAAUACGUAGGGCGCAAGCGUUAUCCGGAAUUAUUGGGCGUAAAGAGCUCGUAGGCGGUUUGUCGCGUCUGCCGUGAAAGUCCGGGGCUCAACCCCGGAUCUGCGGUGGGUACGGGCAGACUAGAGUGAUGUAGGGGAGACUGGAAUUCCUGGUGUAGCG
rnacentral:rRNA from 1 species